rnacentral:rRNA from 1 species
GGACCCGCACAAGCGGUGGAGUAUGUGGCUUAAUUCGAUGCAACGCGAAGAACCUUACCUAGGCUUGACAUGCUUGUCGUACUCUCCCGAAAAGGAGAGGUCACUUCGGGUGGACAAUGCACAGGUGCUGCAUGGCCGUCGUCAGCUCGUGUCGUGAGAUGUUUGGUUAAGUCCAGCAACGAGCGCAACCCCUGUGAACUGUUGCCAGCGCGUAAAGGCGGGGACUCUGUUCAGACUGCCCAGAUCAACUGGGAGGAAGGUGGGGACGACGUCAGGUCAGUAUGGCCCUUACGCCUAGGGCUGCACACGUACUACAAUGCCCAGCACAAUGAGAACCGAGACCGCAAGGUGGAGGAAAUCUGCAAAACUGGGCCCAGUUCGGAUUGGAGGCUGCAACUCGCCUCCAUGAAGUCGGAAUCGCUAGUAA